AUUGAACGCUGGCGGCAUGCCUUACACAUGCAAGUCGAACGGAUUUUGGGGCUUGCUCCAAAGUUAGUGGCGAACGGGUGAGUAAAGCAUCGGAACGUACCCAGUCGUGGGGGAUAACGUAGCGAAAGUUACGCUAAUACCGCAUACGAUCUGAGGAUGAAAGCGGGGGACCUUCGGGCCUCGCGCGAUUGGAGCGGCCGAUGUCGGAUUAGCUAGUUGGUGAGGUAAAGGCUCACCAAGGCGACGAUCCGUAGCUGGUCUGAGAGGACGACCAGCCACACUGGGACUGAGACACGGCCCAGACUCCUACGGGAGGCAGCAGUGGGGAAUUUUGGACAAUGGGCGAAAGCCUGAUCCAGCCAUGCCGCGUGAGUGAAGAAGGCCUUCGGGUUGUAAAGCUCUUUCAGACGGAAAGAAAUCUCUCGGGUGAAUAUCCCGGGAGGAUGACGGUACCGUAAGAAGAAGCACCGGCUAACUACGUGCCAGCAGCCGCCGCCG
rnacentral:rRNA from 1 species